rnacentral:rRNA from 1 species
GACGAACGCUGGCGGUGUGCUUAACACAUGCAAGUCGAACGGAAAGGCCCUGCUUUUGUGGGGUGCUCGAGUGGCGAACGGGUGAGUAACACGUGAGUAACCUGCCCUUGACUUUGGGAUAACUUCAGGAAACUGGGGCUAAUACCGGAUAGGAGCUCCUGCUGCAUGGUGGGGGUUGGAAAGUUUCGUCGGUUGGGGAUGGACUCGCGGCUUAUCAGCUUGUUGGUGGGGUAGUGGCUUACCAAGGCUUUGACGGGUAGCCGGCCUGAGAGGGUGACCGGCCACAUUGGGACUGAGAUACGGCCCAGACUCCUACGGGAGGCAGCAGUGGGGAAUAUUGCACAAUGGGCGGAAGCCUGAUGCAGCAACGCCGCGUGCGGGAUGACGGCCUUCGGGUUGUAAACCGCUUUCGCCUAUGACGAAGCGUGAGUGACGGUAAUGGGUAAAGAAGCACCGGCUAACUACGUG